AAAGCGAACCCAAGCCACACUAAAUAUUUUUUCUGUAUAUUUUUUAAAAGUAAUCAUGAAUCAUUCUAAAAGGAUUUCACCAGAUUUCAGAUUUUAUAUUGCUUCGUACUCGUUAGGUAAAUAAUAGAAUAUAAUCGAAUCAUUGUCAGUGCAAAUAUUUACACUAUAGUAAAUAAUGUAACAAGAUGAGGAUGUGUAAAUUGUGUCAGAAUUGUUGUUUUUGGACCAACUAUUCCUUGUAAGCUACUAUCAUCCUUUCCUAAUCUUUCCUGCUUGUAUGUAUACUAAUACAGAUUAUUUAAUCUCUGUUGUGGGUAUGCAGAAAAAACGAAAAGUUUGGUGGGUCCCCUCUCUGUUGCCAAUGUCAAGAGUUACACAGGAUGCCUCACUGUGAACAAGGCCUACAACAGUAACCUUUUCUUUCUUUCUUUUCUUCCCUGCAUAGGUAACAUGCUGACGAUUUACAUACACACACUGAAAUCACACUGUUUUACUGUGAAGUUGCCUGUUCCAACAGCACUAAAGAUAAGACAGGUCUGCUGACUGCAACUUCUGUGUCAGCUACUUGAAUCAGGAGUAUUUUUAGAGGAAAGAACAGAGACUGCUCCAGUGCUGCCAUGGCUGCAGGAAGGAUCUGGGGGCACCUCUAUGUUUGGCUUGUUUGUGGAGCACGGCCUCACAUAUUAAUGUGAGGAUUCUGGUUCAGAAGGACACUGCAGAGCUGUGUAACAUCAGAACGUUUGUGAUGCCCAACAAGCUGGAUCAUCCUGAGGCUCAGUGCAUCUGCAGUUUCAGUGGACAAUCCCCCCGGAGCAACCUGGAGUUAAGUGCCUUGCUCAAGGGCCCAACAGUGGCAUCUUGGUGGUGCUGGGGCUUGAACCCCCGACCUUCUGGUCAGUAAACCUGAGCCUCAACCACUG